CCUACGGGAGGCAGCAGUGAGGAAUAUUGGUCAAUGGGCUUACGCCUGAACCAGCCAAGUCGCGUGAGGGAAGACUGCCCUAUGGGUUGUAAACCUCUUUUGUCAGGGAGCAACGCCGGCUACGUGUAGCCGGACUGAGAGUACCUGCAGACAAAGCCUCGGCUAACUCCGUGCCAGCAGCCGCGGUAAUACGGAGGAUGCGAGCGUUAUCCGGAUUUAUUGGGUUUAAAGGGUGCGUAGGCGGAAUGCCAAGUCAGCGGUAAAAUCGCGGGGCUCAACCUCGCUCCGCCGUUGAAACUGGCGUUCUGGAGUGGGCGAGAAGUAUGCGGAAUGCGUGGUGUAGCGGUGAAAUGCAUAUAUAUCACGCAGAACUCCGAUUGCGAAGGCAGCAUACCGGCGCCCAACUGACGCUGAAGCACGAAAGCGUGGGUAUCGAACAGGAUUAGAUACCCUUGUAGUC
rnacentral:rRNA from 1 species